rnacentral:rRNA from 1 species
GACGAACGCUGGCGGCGUGCUUAACACAUGCAAGUCGAACGGAAAGGCCCUGCUUUUGUGGGGUGCUCGAGUGGCGAACGGGUGAGUAACACGUGAGUAACCUGCCCUUGACUUUGGGAUAACUUCAGGAAACUGGGGCUAAUACCGGAUAGGAGCUCCUGCUGCAUGGUGGUGGUUGGAAAGUUUCGGCGGUUGGGGAUGGACUCGCGGCUUAUCAGCUUGUUGGUGGGGUAGUGGCUUACCAAGGCUUUGACGGGUAGCCGGCCUGAGAGGGUGACCGGCCACAGUGGGACUGAGAGACGGCCCAGACUCCUACGGGAGGCAGGAGUGGGGAACAGUGCACAAUGGGCGGAAGCAGGAAGCAGCAACGCCGCGUGCGGGAUGACGGCCUUCGGGUUGUAACCAGCUUUCGCCUGUGACGAAGCGUGAGUGACGGUAAUGGGGAAAGAAGCACCGGCUAACUACGU